AUUAUAGACUGUCUGAAUGGAGGAGUAGGUAAAGACAUGACAGAUUAUAGACUGUCUGAAUGGAGGAGUAGGUAAAGACAUGGCAGAUUAUAGACUGUCUGAAUGGAGGAGUAGGUAAAGACAUGACAGAUUAUAGACUGUCUGAAUGGAGGAGUAGGUAAAGACAUGACAGAUUAUAGACUGUCUGAAUGGAGGAGUAGGUAAAGACAUGGCAGAUUAUAGACUGUCUGAAUGGAGGAGUAGUUAAAGACAUGGCAGAUUAUAGACUGUCUGAAUGGAGGAGUAAGUAAAGACAUGGCAGAUUAUAGAAUGUCUGAAUGGAGGAGUAGGUAAAGACAUGGCAGAUUAUAGACUGUCUGAAUUGGAGGAGUAGAAUUAAAGACAUGGCAGAUUAUAGACUGUCUGAAUGGAGGAGUAAGUAAAGACAUGACAGAUUAUAGACUGUCUGAAUGGAGGAGUAGGUAAAGACAUGGCAGAUUAUAGACUGUCUGAAUGGAGGAGUAGGUAAAGACAUGACAGAUUAUAGACUGUCUGAAUGGAGGAGUAGGUAAAAACAUGACAGAUUAUAGACUGUCUGAAUGGAGGAGUAGGUAAAGACAUGACAGAUUAUAGACUGUCUGAAUGGAGGAGUAGGUAAAGACAUGACAGAUUAUAGAAAGUGGACUGAGGAUAUUUUUAUGAUUGUUUGACUACAAUUCUUUAUUACUGUUAUUUUACUCUGUAACAGCUGACCUUUCUAACUCUGUAGAGGCCAUAACACCUCCCUAGAAGCCUCUAGGGUUAACGUUUACAGAACAUUUAUUGCUGUUUUAUCAGGGUAUAAAGGUCUGCUUAUCUCACACAGGAUACUAGCCUGUCAGUUAGACAUGUUCUCUGCGUGUGCUGGGUGGUACUAACAAUGUUCAGACAAAUGUACAGUUUGGUUAUUUCUUAUUGUAGCUAAGUAAACUGUGAUUUACAUCUGAAACGAGUCUCUCUGGAGAGAGAGAGGACGAGACCACUGCCUCUAAAAUGAGUCUCUCUGGGGAGAGAGAGGAGGGGACCACUG